AUUGAACGCUGGCGGCAUGCUUUACACAUGCAAGUCGAACGGUAACAGGGAGCUUGCUCCGCUGACGAGUGGCGAACGGGUGAGUAAUGCGUCGGAACGUGCCGAGUAGUGGGGGAUAACGCAUCGAAAGGUGUGCUAAUACCGCAUACGUACUGAGGUAGAAAGUGGGGGACCUUCGGGCCUCACGCUAUUCGAGCGGCCGACGUCUGAUUAGCUAGGUGGUGAGGUAAAGGCUCACCAAGGCGACGAUCAGUAGCGGGUCUGAGAGGAUGGUCCGCGACACUGGGACUGAGACACGGCCCAGACUCCUACGGGAGGCAGCAGUGGGGAAUUUUGGACAAUGGGCGCAAGCCUGAUCCAGCCAUGCCGCGUGUCUGAAGAAGGCCUUCGGGUUGUAAAGGACUUUUGUCCGGGAGCAAAUGCUGGUGGCUAACAUCCACCGGAGCUGAGAGUACCGGAAGAAUAAGCACCGGCUAACUGCGUGCCAGCCGCCGCAGUAAAAC
rnacentral:rRNA from 1 species